rnacentral:rRNA from 1 species
CUACCUUUUGGCGAGGGACAACCACUGGAAACGGUGGCUAAUGCCUCAUAUAACUGAGAAGUGAAAGAUGAAAAUCACCAAGAGAUGAGCUUGCGUCUGAUUAGCUAGUUGGUAAGGUAAAGGCUUACCAAGGCGACGAUCAGUAGCUGGUCUGAGAGGAUGAUCAGCCACACUGGGACUGAGACACUGCCCAGACUCCUACGGGAGGCAGCAGUGAGGAAUUUUCCGCAAUGGGCGAAAGCCUGACGGAGCAAUACCGCGUGAAGGAUUAAGGCCUAUGGGUUGUAAACUUCUUUUCUCAGAGAAGAAUUUUGACGGUAUCUGAGGAAUAAGCAUCGGCUAACUCUGUG